rnacentral:tRNA from 1 species
UCUUCCGUGGCGCAAUCGGUGGCGCGUCUGACUGUUAUCAUCAGAAGGUCAACAGUUCGAUCCUGUUCGGAAGAG